AUGACUCAAUUGAAACAACUUCCAAACUUGCAUAGCGGAAGGCCACCUCCUUUGACAUGCACACCAAUAAGAUUUAGAUCCUGGAGGGGACCGCGGGAUUGAUCGAGAUGAAAUCCUAAUGUAAUAAGGGCAAUGGUCGUGUAUAUUCAAUGAAGUGGUGCCAGCAUAAGGGUUAAACUCAACUGGGUCAACGCUAGGUGAUCUACAAAGGGAAGCUGAACUAGAGGUUCAACAACUUGAGCAGACCAAGGAUCCUUGGACACUCUUCACAGAUGGAGCCUCAAAUGUCAAAUGAAGUGGACUAAACAUGCUACUAAAAUCGCUAUAGGGAGACAUAAUACCCCAGUCCAUUGCAUGUGAAUUCCAAAACACUAACAAUGAAACAGAAUGUGAGGCCUUAAUAGCAGGUU
rnacentral:lncRNA from 1 species